rnacentral:rRNA from 1 species
AUACGUAGGUGACAAGCGUUAUCCGGAUUUACUGGGCGUAAAGGGCGUGUAGGCGGUCUUGCAAGUCAGAAGUGAAAUUCCUGAGCUCAACUCGGGCGCUGCUUCUGAAACUGCAGGACUUGAGUGCUGGAGGGGAUAGCGGAAUUCCUAGUGGAGCGGUAAAAUGCGCAGAUAUUAGGAAGAACACCGGUGGCGAAAGCGGCGAUCUGGACAGUAACUGACGCUGAGGCGCGAAAGUGUGGGGAGCAAACAGGAUUAGAUACCCUGGUAGUCCACACUGUAAACGAUGAAUGCUAGGUGUAAGAGGUAUCGACCCCAUUUGUGCCGGAGUCAACACAAUAAGCAUUCCGCCUGGGGAGUACGGCCGCAAGGUUGAAACUCAAAUGAAUUUGCGGGG